AUGGCUUUGAUGACUGAACUUUUUUCCCCAGCAGAUCGACUCUGUUGACUACUUUCCAAAAUUAAGCCAAAUUUUCUGAGCCGU